rnacentral:rRNA from 1 species
AUACGGGGGGGGCUAGCGUUGUUCGGAAUUACUGGGCGUAAAGGGCUCGUAGGCGGCCUGUCAAGUCGGACGUGAAAUCCCCCGGCUCAACCUGGGAACUGCGUCCGAUACUGGCUGGCUUGAAUCCGGGAGAGGGAUGCGGAAUUCCAGGUGUAGCGGUGAAAUGCGUAGAUAUCUGGAGGAACACCGGUGGCGAAGGCGGCAUCCUGGACCGGGAUUGACGCUGAGGAGCGAAAGCCAGGGGAGCAAACGGGAUUAGAUACCCCGGUAGUCCUGGCCCUAAACGAUGAAUGCUUGGUGUGGCGGGUAUCGAUCCCUGCCGCGCCGGAGCUAACGCGGUAAGCAUUCCGCCUGGGGAGUACGGUCGCAAGGCUGAA